rnacentral:rRNA from 1 species
GACGAACGCUGGCGGCGUGCUUAACACAUGCAAGUCGAACGGAAAGGCCUGCUUUCCCUUGUGGAUUGCGGGUACUCGAGUGGCGAACGGGUGAGUAACACGUGAGUCAUCUGCCCCCAACUUGGGGAUAAGCCUGGGAAACUGGGUCUAAUUCCCGAUAGGACUGCAGUGUGGUGCCUGUGGUGGAAAACGAUGUUCUAGUGGUUGGGGAUGAGCUCGCGGCCUAUUAGCUUGUUGGUGGGGUAAUGGCCUACCAAGGGGGCGACGGGUAGCCGGCGUGAGAGGGUGGACCGGGACGUUGGGGCGGAGAGACGGCCCGGGCUCCACCGACAGGCCGGAGUGGGGAAGGUGGCAAGAGGGGGGGAAGCCUGAUGCAGGGACGCCGCGUGGGGGAUGACGGCCUUCGGGUGGUAGACUCCUUUCGGCCGCGAGAAAGCCACCUGGUUGGAAGGAUGGUGACGGUAGUGGCAGAAGAAGCACCGGCUAACUACGUG